AAUAGAUUGCCUGAGCUAAAGGAUUAUUUUGAUAGAAUAAAUCACACAAUAAAAAUGUAUCUAUUA
rnacentral:tRNA from 1 species